UCCUUCGUAGCUUAGUUGGUUAAAGUAAUAGUCUAACGUACUGUAGGGUCGUGGGUUCGAGUCCUACCGAAGGGAA